UACGUAGGGGGCUAGCGUUGUCCGGAAUCAUCGGGCGUAAAGCGCGUGUAGGCGGCCCGGUAAGUCCGCUGUGAAAGUCCAGGGCUCAACCCUGGGAUGCCGGUGGAUACUGUCGGGCUCGAGUCCGGAAGAGGCGAGUGGAAUUCCUGGUGUAGCGGUGGAAUGCGCAGAUAUCAGGAGGAACACCAAUAGCGAAGGCAGCUCGCUGGGACGGUACUGACGCUAAGGCGCGAAAGCGUGGGGAGCGAACAGG
rnacentral:rRNA from 1 species